rnacentral:rRNA from 1 species
GUGGGGAAUAUUGGACAAUGGGCGAAAGCCUGAUCCAGCCAUGCCGCGUGUGUGAAGAAGGUCUUCGGAUUGUAAAGCACUUUAAGUUGGGAGGAAGGGCAGUAAGUUAAUACCUUGCUGUUUUGACGUUACCGACAGAAUAAGCACCGGCUAACUUCGUGCCAGCAGCCGCGGUAAUACGAAGGGUGCAAGCGUUAAUCGGAAUUACUGGGCGUAAAUCGCGCGUAGGUGGUUUUGUAAGUUGGAGGUGAAAUCCCCGGGCUCAACCUGGGAACUGCCUCCAAAACUGCAUGACUAGAGUACGGUAGAGGGUAGUGGAAUUUCCUGUGUAGCGGUGAAAUGCGUAGAUAUAGGAAGGAACACCAGUGGCGAAGGCGACUACCUGGACUGAUACUGACACUGAGGUGCGAAAGCGUGGGGAGCAAACAGGAUUAGAUACCCGAGUAGUCC